rnacentral:lncRNA from 7 species
ACACUUGCAUGCAGUCUGAAGGAUUCUUCUCAGGGUGCCUGAAGCCUGCUUUUCCUUUACAGGAUAAAUGUAUAGGGAACAAGACAAUUCAAAAUCAGACAUAAAUCUUGACAAAAAAUGAUCAACGAAUGGCAACAAUAGCAAUGAAGCCAACACGGCUACCACGGGCUCUUCACCUUGUUCCUAUCUACAGGAUUUAAUCCAUUGACACACAUUGGAAGAAAAAGAAAUUUCCGCAUCAACUCGGUUGGUGUUUUGAAAAUCUGAAUGCCAAUAAAUAGAAAAUUAAAUCACUAAGAAUUUUUAUGUAGGCAAUGUAUAAAGACAAUCUAGCUGGACAUUUACAUAAAAUAAAUAUCAAACCUUUU